rnacentral:rRNA from 1 species
UACGGAGGGGGCUAGCGUUGUUCGGAUUUACUGGGCGUAAAGCGCACGUAGGCGGAUUGUUAAGUCAGGGGUGAAAUCCCGGAGCUCAACUCCGGAACUGCCUUUGAUACUGGCAAUCUUGAGGCUGGAAGAGGUUAGUGGAAUUCCCAGUGUAGAGGUGAAAUUCGUAGAUAUUGGGAAGAACACCAGUGGCGAAGGCGGCUAACUGGUCCAGAUCUGACGCUGAGGUGCGAAAGCGUGGGGAGCAAACAGG